rnacentral:lncRNA from 12 species
GAUUGUUGAAUUUGAUUCCAGGUGUGUAUAGUCAUUAGUCUCUUAAUUGUCUGUAUUUAAGGUCUUGUCCAUUCAGUUAGUCAAGUCUGUUCAUACCAAGUCAAGUCUCUGUUUGGAUUAUGUGUGUAUUUUGUAUUACUUUUGGAAUAAAGCUGCUCUUGGGUUCUUAAACUCACCUUCAGUGGACCUAUUGUUACACGUGUCAACAUAAAAGUGAUGUGACUUGCAGCCAAGUGGUAACCCAUGCACUGCAUUUAUCCAAUCCAAAUACAAACACCCUAAGCAGUGGGCAGCCGUUAUUACUGCAGCACGCAGAGAACUUCUUAGUGUCUGUUUCCAUGGUGACUUUAGUUUGUCACUCUGUUCUGGAUUAAUCUAAAUAAUUUCUUGUGUGUUCACUGUGAACCUCUGAGUUCACUGAACAUACUCCUGGAUGUGAUUUUGAAACCACCUCAAGUAAACAAGGUUUACUUGACAACCGAGAUAACAGGGUAUAUGCGACAGUAAAUGAACCUUGCUUUCUUGAAUAUGCCCCAGUAUGUAAUAUAGUCUUAUCUUCACAGAAUGGGUGUCUGCUUUUACAAACUGUGAAGAAAGCAGAGUUUAUGGGACUGCUUAUAAGGUACUUUUUCAACGUCUCAGCUUGAACAAGACUGACGUUCCAAAAACCCACCUACUGCCUUACUUCAUGGACCCUCCUACUGACAUUUAUGUGGACCUGUAUGUGACGUCCAUCAAAGAAGUGGAUGGGUGUCUGCUUUUACAAACUGUGAAGAAAGCACAGUUUAUGGGACUGCUUAUAAGGCACUUUUUGAACAUCUUGGCUUGAACAAGACUGACGUUCCAAAAACCCACCUACUGCCUUACUUCAUGGACCCUCCUACUGACGUUUAUGUGGACCUGUAUGUGACGUCCAUCAUAGAAGUGGUAUGAGUCCAGCAUGAUUUAUCUUCUUAUACAAGUCAUGAGUGUCAGACAGUUGUAAUGUCAUUAUUUAACACUUAAUUUAUCUGUAGAAUGAAAAAGCCCAGAGCCUCUCAACACAGGUCAAAAAGAUGACUGUAAGUUUUUUUUUUUUUUCUCGAUAUUUUUCUCUUAUUUAAAUGUUUCUCAGUUUAUAAAACUUAAUUGUAUAUGACCACAAAAUCUUAUUAAAUAUCAAGCAUUUCACUCUUGAAUCCUAAGUAGUUGCUUCACCAUUUUUAUUGUUCCUAGUUUUUUAGCUUUAUUUAUUGGUAAUGCUCAACCAUCAUUUAAAAAAAAAAAAAAAAAAAAAAAAAUUCUCACUUGGUUUUACCACAGCUCGUUUUUGUGUCAUGGCACAUAAAAAAAAAAAAGAAAAUUGGUUAUAGAGUUGAUUACAGAACCCCAGUGGUGGACGAAGUAUACAAAUCAAGUACUCAAAUAUAAUUACAUAUACACUAAAAUUACUCCAGUAAAACUAUUAAGUACUCCUCUUCAAUUUUGCUUGAGUACAAUACAUGCUAUAGUGUUUGUGUGUAAAUAUGGUGACAGCAUACAAUAUUCAAAUAUUUGAAUUUGA